CAGUGGGCUCGCGGUCGCCCUGCCAGGCGCAGAGCCGCUCCAGGAUGCUCUCCUCCCUCAGGAGGCCUGCUGUGGGCCGGCUCUGCAACAGCUGAGGGGGCGGCGGGUCAGCACUCAGGCAUCCACGGCCACCCCUCACCGCCGCGGGGAAGCAGGCUCACCCCCGUGAAGAAGGCCAUGGCCGUAAGGCGCUGCGUGUCGUCGGGGCUGCGCAGCUGGGGCAGCACGUUCCCAAAAAGGCCCCGCAGCACCUGGCCAGCAGCAGGACACCUUCUAGGUGGGUGUGGGCUCCCACCAGCCUUCUCCAGCCCCCGGCCUGCUCCAUGCACGUGACCACCAUGCGGCCACCAUCCCCGGUGAGCAGAGCCUUCAAGGCUUCCACAGCACAGCUGCAGGGCCGGCGGCAGGGGGUCAGGGUGAGGAGGGCGCUGGCCCAGCCCCCACUUCUCCCUGGCGCUUGCCCCUCACCUGACGUGGCUGUGCGGGGGCCCUCGGUGCCAUGGGGCCUGCACCUUAGGGGCGUCCGGGGAGCGCACACGCCGCGCCAGCCGGUGUAGCUGCGUGACCAGCACGAGCAGGAGGUGUGGGUAGAAGCCCCGAGUGGCACCCACGCAGCCAGACACAGCCAGCAUCUCCCCGAGGGCCCGAGUGGCCUGCAGAACAAGGAGCUGGGCUCAGGCCCUGGUGCCCCGCACACCGAGAGCUCCAGGACAAAGCCGCGGACACCUGAGGACCAGACUGAGGAGCAGCUGCCGCCCCGGCUCCUGCCCCUGGGCCCUGGGGAGUCUCCUACCGCCAGCGCCUCCAGCUCAGGCCCGGCUUCGUUCCUCAACGCCCACAGCAGCUGGACCAGCACCUGCCCGUUUACGCGCUGGUUCCGGCUCAGGCUGCGCCACAGCUCGGCGGCUGCCCUGGGGGGACGGAGCACCUGAGACGGGGAGUCCCCCUGCCCCCGCAAACCCCGGAGAACCAGAAUGAGUGGCGUCUGUGUAGACUACCCCAAACCCCGCGUAGAGCCAGCAGCAGGGAAACGAAGCUGGAUUGCACGUGGUCACUGCAGAGGAUGAAACCAAAGAAAACGUCUCCUGGGCAGGUUAACAGAGGAGCCAGGGGCCUUGGGGCCAAGAAGCCAGCUGGCUUGCUCGUCCCACCCUGGAGCCCUGGGCUGGGCUCCCAGCGUGACCUGGGGGCAAUGGCAGGGCCCCGAGCCGGGCCCCCCAGGCAUAACUGUCCGGGGGACUCACCGGGCCGAGACGGUCCUGAAGACCCCGCGGAUCUCCUGGGCCUGCUGAAGCAAGUCACCGCUGUCCAAUCGUAUGCCUACUGCGCGGUAGCCCAGUUCCCCCAGGGCCAGGGCUACUGCCAGGAAGUUAGGAAGACCGCUCCUGUGGGCGGGUACAAGAAGGGUGCGUGAGGGGCUGUGGCCGCUCUGCAGAGCCCACCCAGGGGAGCACCUGGGCCUCACCUUUGCACGCUGUAGGUGUCCAGCAGGCCCUGGAAGGCCUGGGGAAAAGCCAGGGCAUAGGCCACAAAGGCUGCCCGCUCCCCCCGGUGGGGCUCCUGCACCCCCAGCCCCAGAUGGGCACACACGCCAUCCAGCCAUGCCUCCACACGAGCAGUCAGGUCCACCUUGGGUCCUGGACUGGCGGCUGGAGCCAACAUCUACGGAGAGGGCUCAGUGAAGGCUGGGCAGUCCCUCGUGCAGGGGGAGGUCUGAGCGGGGGCAGUGCCACCACCGGGGCUACCUGCCAGGGUGGCUCAGGUGGACCACCCUCCCCUGAGCAAGGACUGGCUUUGGGGUCUGCUGUCUGGAGUGCAGCAGGGAUGAGAGGUACUGACCGGGUCGGGGGGCACCUCAGUGCCCGAAAAGGAGGUGACGAAAGAGUGGGCCAGGGUUCCCGCCAGGGGCACACCCCGCAGCUGUCCUGCAAGCACAUUGCUGCUGCCAUCAAAACCUGGGCCGGGGGUCAGGCGUGGGGUCAGGCGGGGCUGGAGGGCUCCGGGCAGGUCUCCUUCCCCGCCCCUGCCUCCCUCCUCCGGCUCUCACCGCCUAGGUAGCUGUAGGUGGAGGCCGUGAGACCCCCAUCGGGGCCCUGGGCUCGCCGCAGCCCCAUCUCCAACAGCCGCUUCUCGGGGCCCGCGAUCAGGCGAAGGCGCGCAGCGUUGGUGGCGAUGAGGCUGU